UAACACGAGAGAGAGAGAGAGAGAGAGAGAGAGAGGCGCAAUAAUCUCUCCCUUUCGCGACACUCCAUCAGAAGGUACCAAGCCAGCAACAAUGCUUAUCUUCUUCUUGCUCUUCCUCGCCGCCGCCGCCACCACCAACUCCCUCUUUGUCCAUCCAGAACCACUCACUCCGAGCCCAAGUCCAAGUCAACGCCCCAAAAGCAUCUUCCUCCUCGCCGGGCAGAGUAACAUGGCGGGCCAAGGCGGCGUGGUCAACGACACAUCCACCGGCUGGAUCAACAAGUGGGACGGCGUCAUCCCUCCCGAGUGCAGCCCCAACCCGUUGAUAAUCCGGCUCGCGGAGAACCUCACGUGGGUCGAGGCCCGGGAGCCGCUCCAUGCGGACAUCGGCGUGAACCAGACGAACGGGAUCGGCCCGGGUAUGGCAUUCGCCAACACCGUCGUGGGCCAGGAUCGGGGUCUGGGCUUGGUGGGGUUGGUGCCGUGCGCAAUCGGCGGGACGAGGAUAAGCGAGUGGGAAAGAGGGACGUCUUUGUACAACCAAUUGAUGAGGCGGGCGCGAGCCGGGACGAAAGACGGGGGGACAAUCAAAGCGCUCUUGUGGUACCAAGGAGAGAGCGACACGGUGGAGGAAAGCGAUGCCGUGCAGUACAAAGGGAGGCUGGAGAAGUUCUUUACGGAUGUAAGGACUGACCUGCAGUCGCCCGAGCUCCCAAUUUUCCAGGUGGCUAUCGCAUCAGGACUGGGACCUUUCACCGACACGGUGAGAAAGGUCCAGCUCGGGCUUGACCUUCCGAACGUGCGAACCGUCGACGCCAAGGGGCUGCCUCUCGACCCGACCGGCUCCAUCUAGCCACCCCGGCCCAGGUCCGGCUUGGCCAGAUGCUGGCCGAUGCUUUCCUUCAGUCCAUGGCUCGCUCCCCGUCGCCCGUGAGUGAAGCUCUCUCCCCGUCGCUCGUGAGUGAAGCUUCCACGAGUGGUCCAAAUUUGGUAAUUCACGUUUUGGCGUUCUUCAUGUGGAAACUUAUUAGAGCAGUUUUGAUGAGCAGAGGUGAUUAACGAUUUUCUGGAUUGGAAGGUGAUUAACGAUUGAUUGCUUUGGACUAGACCGAAAAUUGCGAAAGAGCGUAGAGAAACGUGAGAUGCAACUGUUGUUUAGAUUAAAAAUUUGACGGGGAUAUACAUGAAAAAUGAGAAAUUUGCUAUUUCAGUCCUAAAUUUAUCAUACAAAUUUCAAUUUACUUC